AGAGUUUGAUCCUGGCUCAGGACGAACGCUGGCGGCGUGCUUAACACAUGCAAGUCGAGCGGUAAGGCCCUUUCGGGGGUACACGAGCGGCGAACGGGUGAGUAACACGUGGGUGACCUGCCCUCCACUCUGGGAUAAGCCCGGGAAACUGGGUCCAAUACCGGAUAGGACCACUGAUCGCAUGGUUGGUGGUGGAAAGUUUUUUCGGUGGGGGAUGGGCCCGCGGCCUAUCAGCUUGUUGGUGGGGUGAUGGCCUACCAAGGCGGUGACGGGUAGCCGGCCUGAGAGGGCGACCGGCCGCACUGGGACUGAGACACGGCCCAGACUCCUACGGGAGGCAGCAGUGGGGAAUAUUGCGCAAUGGGCGGAAGCCUGACGCAGCGACGCCGCGUGGGGGAUGACGGCCUUCGGGUUGUAAACCUCUUUCGCCAGGGACGAAGAGCAAUUGACGGUACCUGGAGAAGAAGCACCGGCCAACUACGUGCCAGCAGCCGCGGUAACACGUAGGGUGCGAGCGUUGUCCGGAAUUAUUGGGCGUAAAGAGCUCGUAGGCGGUGUGUCGCGUCGGCCGUGAAAACUUGGGGCUUAACUCUGAGCGUGCGGUCGAUACGGGCAUCACUUGAGUUCGGCAGGGGAGACUGGAAUUCCUGGUGUAGCGGUGAAAUGCGCAGAUAUCAGGAGGAACACCGGUGGCGAAGGCGGGUCUCUGGGCCGAUACUGACGCUGAGGAGCGAAAGCGUGGGGAGCGAACAGGAUUAGAUACCCUGGUAGUCC
rnacentral:rRNA from 1 species